GGCUAUCACUCCUGUGGCCUAGUGGUUAGAGCGUCCGCCUCGGAUGCGCGACGUCGUGGGUUCAAUCCCCAGUCGAGUCA